GGCAGAAACCGCAAUUACUUUCGCACCAACCUCAUCCGCUGGAUUUUUGCAUAAUAUAGUGUUGUUUCCCAGGGUUGAGCUUCCAGCUUCUCACUCUUUGUGCUAUUCCAGUAUGUGGUUCUUGAUUUAUGUGUGAAUUAGCACAGUGCUCACAACACGUGCACGUGGCAACUCAGAAGCAUUUCCCAAUGACUAACAAGCAGUAGGACUCUUACAUGUCUACCCACGCAGGACCAGAGGUAUUGAGAAAAAAACAUGCUACUGAUUAUUGUUAUUCUCUUUCUGAGACAGUCGCACUGUGUUCCCCAGGCUGGAGUGCAGUGGCACGAUCCCAGCUCACACUGCAACCUCCACCUCCCGGGUUCAAGCGCUUCUGCUGCAGCCUCCCCAGUAGCUGGGAUUACAGGUGCCCACACCACCACGCCCAGACAGGACCCUGACCUAGACACCUUAGACCCGGAGUGCCUAAGGCCCUCUGGACUUCAGCCGCAGUGACGCCAGGCCUCGAACAGCCCGCUUGCCACAGCACGUGAGAACCUCUCUAUAAGAACCGUAAAUUCCGCACAAAAUUAAAAGAAAGCGAACAAGAGGAAGAAGACGGCCGGGCAUGGUGGCUCACACCUGUAAUCCCAGCACUUUGGGAGGCUGAGGCAGAAGGACUGCUUAGGGCCACAAGUUGGAGACCAGCCUGGGCAAUGUAGUGAGACCCCCUUUCUACAAAGAAAUAAAAAAACAGUCAGGUGUUGUGGUGCCUGCCUGUAGUCCCAGCUACUCAGGAGGCUGAAGUGGG
rnacentral:lncRNA from 1 species